GUCUUUAGCCAUCCAACCCACAUAAACCCGAACCCACUUCUGCUUUUACCCAUUAAAACUGAACCAACUCCACAUCCAUUAUCCAAACCCAAUUCCAUACCCACUAAAACACAAUUUUCACGUUUACCACAUCAAUUCAUUUCUCUCUCCUAAACCUCUCUCCACCAUAAUCAUCUUCUCCACUUUUCCUCAAGAACCUUAGCUCUUUCAUCUCUCAUAACUCACUCAAUUCUACAUCAAAUCAAGCCGUUCUUGGGUCUAACCUCACUAAUUUUUUGAGAGGAUUACAUUGCAUCGACUGUUUUCUCGAAAAUCUUCAUGGUUUGGAGAGAUUUGUGGACACAUUGGGUCCGAAAAUUUGGGGUUUCUCUAGGUCUCAAGUUUUAAAGGUUUUUCUUGCCUAGCUCUUGUUUAUUCAUCAUCUAAGAUGAUCAAAGUGGAUGUGUGAUGAGUCGAGCCUUGAUAGGUUUAAGGUGUAUUUUGGAAGCUUUACGAGCUUUGGAAUGAAGGUGACAAGGAAAUGAUGCAUGUAGGAGCUUACCGGAGCUUAAAUAAGUGCAUUUCGAUAGCUAACUGAGAAACGGGAAGCACAUGGAAGCAUAUGGAAGUAAUCAAGAGUGGUUUUGAGAAGAAAGGAGAAAACAUGGGAUGAGAACGCAAGUUACUUCAUUCGGGACGCAAUAGAGGGCACAUGAAAGUGUGGAUUUCAGAGCAGGGACACAUAAUGUGUCCAUGAGGACACAUAAUGCGUCCCUCAUCAGUUACAAUUCGUAAAAAAUGCCCUUUUGACUAAAAGAAAGUAUCAUGAAUGUGAGGCUUGACAUAUACGAAUUGGGGGGUUUGCUAGGCGAUUUUGGGAGCUUUUUGGGAGAUUCUUGAAGAUUCAAUCCAUCCCUUAUCACAUUCCAUCACGUCUUGAAGAUCAAUCAUAAACCAUGAGUGGCUAAUUUUCCCAAGAUCAUCCCCGGGUGAAAGAUUGUGAGUUUCUAGGGUUUUUUUUUUUCAUGUUUUGGUUUGAUAUAAACAUUUUGUAAUCUUUUGAUUGAAAUUGUGCGGAUUGAUUGUUAGUAUUGUUUUGAACUCGAAAUUGUUAAGAUUUUCUUGCAUCAUUGACAUUGAGAGAUGAUUACUACUAUUAGUUUUGAUUCGUGCUAGGGUUUGUUCAUUGUUCUUGAUUUAUAAAACAUACAAUUGUCUU
rnacentral:lncRNA from 1 species